rnacentral:lncRNA from 1 species
AUUAAGAUAUUGAAUUACUUUUACUAAUCUACGAUUAAAAGAUACUUUUGCUUUAUUGAUUUAUGCUUCUUUUCCUCUCCCUCACUCUCUCUUCUCAUUGAUCUCUCGCUCUCUCCCUCCUGCCACCGUCUUCACAUCUCAGGCAAAAUGCUUGUUAAAUUCAUGAAGCAACAAAUGUCACUAUUGAUACAAAUAGGGGAAUAGAAGUAAUGACAAAUCCAAAAACCCCCCCAAGUGAAAAAAUCCAUGCCUAUGCCUCACCCCCAAUUUUUGUUCGAACAAUAAGAAAAUUCAGUGAAAAAAAUCAAAUCCCACAAAUCCAAGAUUCAUACGCCCA